UACGAAGGGUGCAAGCGUUACUCGGAAUUACUGGGCGUAAAGCGUGCGUAGGUGGCGCCGUAAGUCAGGUGUGAAAUCUCGGGGCUCAACCCCGAAACUGCACUUGAUACUGCGGUGCUCGAGUACUGGAGAGGAGAUUGGAAUUUACGGUGUAGCAGUGAAAUGCGUAGAUAUCGUAAGGAAGACCAGUGGCGAAGGCGAAUCUCUGGACAGUUACUGACACUGAGGCACGAAGGCCAGGGGAGCAAACGGG
rnacentral:rRNA from 1 species